UGUUAGAACAAAUCAUCUUAUCGUUGUAAUCUCAACCUCUUCCUUUAUCUCCUAUUGUAUUCAAACUCUUGUACUCAUCCUUGUACGCCAAGGCAAGUCCUUCGGCCCUAUCAAUAUAUAUACGCACGCGGCUCCCCUCGUGGGAGUAGGAACGCUUCAUACUUUUACAUGGUCAUCAGAGCCCCUCUUUCAUACAUCUAGCCACAAACCAGAAACAAAACUCUAGAUCAUACCCGCGAUCGCCGUCAUGGCCUCCUCAGCCGGUGUCACCCUGAACCUUGGUUCACCUCCAUCAGAAAAGCUUGCGAGAGGGAAUUUCAUCCUCUGGAAGACGCAAGUUCUCCCAGCCCUGCGAGGAGCGCAGGUUACUGGGCUUCUGGACAACUCCGACGCCGCUCUGCCCAAGACGGUGGAGGUCACAAAGGCGGACAAAACCACGGCCCAAGAGCCGAAUCCUCUGUAUGGAACUUGGAUCGCCAAAGAUCAACAGAUUCUGCCAUAUCUACUCAACUCCAUGUCUCCUGAGAUCCUUGCGCAGGUCGUCGGGAGGGACUCCACCUUCGAGCUCUGGACAACAAUCAACAACCUCUUCGCCUCACAAUCGCAGUCUCGGAUCACCAACCUAAGGAUUGCGAUCACCAACACCAAGAAAGGCACUAUGUCUAGUUCAGCAUACAUGGCGAAGAUGAAGAGCCACGGGGAUGAACUAGCUGCUGCUGGCCGCCCCGUCUCUGAUCCGGAGAUGGUGGACUACAUACUUGCAGGAUUGGACCGCGACUACGACUCCAUGGUGGCGGCGAUCGGCGCUGCCAAGAACAGCAUCACCGCCGAUGAUCUCUUUGCUCAGAUCUAUGCCUUUGAUCAAAGGAUGGAGAUGUUGGGCGACUCGUCUUCAGGCGGGUUUCAUACAUCCGCUAAUGCAGUCUACAGAGGCCGUGGCUCGUCCCGCAACAGAUCCUGUCGCGGGCGAGGAGGAAGGGGGCGCGUCCGUAGUGGUGACCGCGGUGACCGUGGUGAUCGCUAGCCUUCUCCUCCAAUGGCAGCGGCGGCUUCAGAGGACGCCCUCGGCAACAGCAACAACAGCAGGUGCGUGAGCAGCAUGACUUCCCAGAGUGUCAGAUAUGUCUCAAGCAUCAUCCAGGGGGUGCAUGCGUCUGCUAGUGGCGCUACGAAGAGAAUGAUCAAGAAGAAAAGGAGGCGCAUGCAGUCUCCUAUGGAGUUGACACGAAUUGGUAUGCCGACAGUGCAGCAACAAAUCAUAUCACGGGUGAACUUGACAAGUUAACCAUGCGGGAGAAGUACAACGGAGGUGACCAAAUUCGCACGGCAAGCGGUUCUGGUAUGAAUAUUACACAUAUUGGUAGUUCAAUCGUUAAAAACCCCAUGAAAAAUUUGCACUUGAAAGAUGUCUUGCAUGUUCCAUAAACUUCCAAAAAUCUUGUUUCCGUUCAUCGUUUCACUCUUGAUAACAAUGUUCUCAUAGAAUUAUAUCCUUAUUUUUUCUUGGUUAAGGACUUGGCAACAAGGAGAAUAAUUCUUAGAGGACGGUGCGUGGGAGGUCUCUACCCACUCAUAUUAUCAUCAUCUUCAUGGUCAGAUAAACAAGCAAAUAUUGUCACCAAGCCUUCUUCAUCAAGGUGGCACAGUCGUUUGGGUCAUCCAUCUUCAGUCAUAGUUAAAUAUAUUCUUAGCAAAAAUAAACUCUCUUAUGAGCCUAGUCUUAGUGUUGAGUCAAUUUGUGAUCCGUGUCAACAAGCUAAAAGUCAUCAAUUGCCUUACCCUAUUUCUAUUAGUGUAUCUACUUCUCCAUUACAACUCAACUUCUCAGAUGUAUGGGGACCAACCCCUACUUCAGUUGGGAGAUUUUCCUACAAUGUAAGCUUCAUUGAUGAUCAUAGUAAAUUUACUUGGAUUUAUUUUGUUGAAAAAAAGAACCGAUGUAUUCCAAGUCUUUAUCAAUUUUCAAAACCUUGUUGAAUGCAAACUGAACUCCAAAAUCAUUGCUAUGCAAACCGACUGGGGUGGUGAGUAUGAGAAGUUGAACUCUUUUUUUCAAAAGCUUGGCAUCUCACAUCAUGUCUCUUGUCCUCAUGCUCACCAACAGAAUGGCUCUGCUGAGAGAAAACAUCGUCACAUUGUUGAUAUGGGACUAGCACUGCUAGCAAAUGCAUCCAUGCCACUUAAGUUCUGGGAUGAAGCCUUUUUAACUGCCACAUACCUCAUCAAUUUGCUUCCAAGCAAAGUUAUCAAACUUGACACACCUAUUACACGUCUCCUUGGUGUUACACCCAACUACACAUCACUCCGUGUUUUUGGGUGCGCAUGUUGGCCCAAUCUCAGACCCUACAACACACGAAAACUUGCUUUCCGCUCUAAAAGAUGUGUCUUCUUAGGCUAUAGCCCUAUGCAUAAAGGGGUUAGAUGUCUUGAUGUUCCUACUCGUAGGGUCUACAUAUCUAGAGAUGUUGUUUUUGAUGAGUCUGUGUUCCCUUUUGCAUCACUUCAUCUCAAUGUCGGUGCCCUCCUUCGCAAAGAAAUUCUUCUUCUUCCUACGCAUCUUCAGACUUUUGAUCGUGGGGGCGAUGAUUGUACUAACCAAUGUGAUGAUAUUCCUACUAGUACUGCUCCUACUCUUAUGCCUGUGCAGGUCCCUAGAGAAAACAGAGCUCAAAAUGAUCAAAAUCUCGAAAAUCCAGCUCAAAAUGAUCUUAUAUUUCAUGUUGAAGAAGGAGACGAGCCGGACACGGACAACGAGGACGACCCGGCAGCGCCUGGUACGCCUGCACGCGCGCAGUCCUUGGAUCGCGCGAUCGAAUCCCCCUUGGAUCGCGCUCCCACCAGCAGCGGCUUCGGCUCCCGGUCCAGCCAAUCCCGUGGUGCCGCAUCGUCGACAGGUGGGGACAGCAGCGGGACCGCAUCUUCCUCGCCCCGCGUGAGCAUGCAGCCGCUGUCGGGCUGCGGAUCCGCUGUGCCGCGCCGCGCGGUUACUUCCCGUGUGCCUGCAGGAGCGGCGGCCACACCGGUGGCCACAUGAUCUCCUGUGCUGACUGCGCCAGAUUCUUCUGCAUCAGCGCCUGAUUCUCCCGGAUCGGCUGUGGCAAGUGCACCUGCGGUUCAAUCUAUGGCUUCUCCAAGAGUCAAGACUAGACUACAAAAAGGUAUACGAAAUCCAAAGAUAAGAACGGAUGGAACUAUACCAUAUGGCAUGUUGUGUAUUUCAGGAGAGCCAACAACUGUGAGUAGUGCACUUGAUGAUCCCAAGUGGAAGAAGGCAAUGGAUGAGGAAUAUUCUGCACUAAUGAGAAACAAACUUGGCAUCUUGUACCAAACCAGAAAGGUAAAAAUAUAAUUGAUUGCAAAUGGGUAUACAGAAUCAAAAAGAAGGCAGAUGGCUCCAUUGACAGGUAUAAGGCACGUUUGGUUGCAAAGGGCUUCAAGCAACGUUAUGGCAUUGAUUAUGAGGACACCUUUAGUCCCAUUGUGAAAGCUGCAACUAUCAGACUUGUGCUAGCUAUUGCUGUUUCCAGAGGAUGGAGCCUAAGACAGUUAGAUGUACAGAAUGCAUUUUUGCAUGGUGUUCUGGAAGAGGAAGUGUUCAUGAGACAGCCACCUGGGUAUGAAAGUAAGAAAUUUCCACAUUUUGUUUGCAAGCUUGAUAAAGCACUCUAUGGCUUGAAACAAGCACCUAGUGCAUGGUAUUCCAGACUGAGCUUACAAUUGAAAUUUCUUGGCUUCAUUGCUUCAAAGGCUGAUACAUCCUUGUUUAUUUAUAACAAUGCAGGAGUGGUUAUUUUCUUGCUUAUAUAUGUUGAUGAUAUCAUAGUUGCAAGUUCUUCACAAAAUGCCACUAAUGCUCUUCUGCAUGACUUAAGUUCAGAGUUUGUCUUAAAGGACCUAGGUGAUUUGCACUUCUUUCUAGGUAUUGAAGUCAAGAAAACUCAAGAUGGCAUUAUGUUAAAACAGGAGAAAUACAUCACUGAACUUCUGUCUCGUAUGGGAAUGAAAAAUUGUAAGCCAGUACCUACACCCUUGUCUUCUUCAGAAAAACUUUCAGCAUAUGAAGGAGAGCCACUUCAAGAGGAAGAAAGUACAAGGUAUAGGAGUACCGUGGGAGCAUUGCAAUAUUUAACUCUCACACGUCCGGAUAUCUCAUUUGCUGUCAACAAGGUUUGUCAAUAUCUACAUGCACCUACUUCUGCACAUUGGACAGCCGUCAAGAGGAUUGUAAGAUAUGUAAAGCAUACUAUGGGAAUAGGACUUCAUUUCAAAAGUUCUAAUUCCACUCUUGUGAGCGCAUUCUCUUAUGCUGACUGGGCAGGAUGUAGUGAUGACAGAAGAUCAAUUGGAGGUUUUGCAAUAUUCUUUGAUUCCAAUCUUAUUUCUUGGAGUGCCAGAAAACAAGCCACCGUGCCACGUUGAAGCACAGAGGCUGAGUAUAAAUCCUUGGCUAAUGCAACUGCUGAAGUUAUUUGGGUUGAAUUACUUCUUGAAGUGUUGGGAGUCAAAAAUAAUCGUAUCUCAUGCUUAUGGUGUGAUAAUUUGGAUGCAACAUACUUGUCUGCAAACCCAGUAUUCCAUGCAAGGACAAAGCACAUAGAAAUUGAUUUUCACUUUGUGCGAGAGAGGGUUGCCGCAAAAAAACUUGAGAUACGGUUUAUUCCCUCCAAGGAUCAAGUGGCGGAUGGUUUCACCAAGGCACUACCAACACGAUCAUUUGAUGAGUUCAAGAGCAAUCUUAAUUUAGGAUAGUUGAGAUUAAGGGAGGGUGUUAGAACAAAUCAUCUUAUCGUUGUAAUCUCAACCUCUUUCUAUAUCUCCUAUUGUAUUCAAACUCUUGUACUCAUCCUUGUACGCCAAGACAAGUCCUUUGGCCCUAUCAAUAUAUAUACGCACACGGCUCCCCUCGUGGGAGUAGGAACGCUUCAUACUUUUACAGACAGGAGCAUGAGGUGCCCGGCGGCUGCCAUGGUUGUUGGCAAGCAGGAUCGAGAGAGAAGUCACCACAGUUGACAGUAGUGUCCGGCCGGGGAAGGAGCUUGAGAAGAACGGAUCGUCCAGGGGCUCGAUCGAUUUAUAUAAUCGCCCUCACCAUUGGAUCAGGACGCCACGGGUGCUUUGGCGUACCA
rnacentral:lncRNA from 1 species